CUUAGCUUCUCCAGAAGAAGGACAACGAGCACGAAGAAGAUGAAGAUUCUUCUGCUGACUCUUGUACUUGGUGUGGUUUGUGCUGACCAGGAACCUCAGUCAGAGACCGAUCACUCAGUGAUUCCAGGAGAAUGGUACACCACUUCCAUAGCAUCGGAUGACACAGAGAAGAUACAAGAAAAUGGCCCACUAAGGGGUUAUAGCUGUUGGAUUGAAUGUAUCAGCAAUUGCAGCACAGUUGCCAUUACUUUCUAUCAAAAGAUUAAUGGGGAAUGCCGGAAGUACAUAGUAGUGGGAACAAGCACAAAAGAUGAUAUUUACAAGGUUGACUUCAAGUGACAGCUUGGUAAUAUACAGUGAAAAUGUUGAUGACGAAGGCAAGGUCACACUUGUGACUGAACUCCUUGGUAUGUAUUACAGUUUAUUCUAUACAAAUUAAACAUGUUAAUAUUAUUUAUAUUAAGGAGAGAAGAAAGUAUAUGCAUUACUUUUUUAUUAAGCACACUAGUGCAGAAAUGAGUUAACGUGAGAAUUCAGACUUCAUGUUGAAUGAGUCAGAGAUGCUGAAAGGUUGUGUACUGGUAAUGAAGAGAUGUAUCCACUAUGGGGCUCUAUCAGAUGGCUUUUCUAAAAAUUAUACACACUUAUUCUGAAGAUCCAAUAAAUAGUCCAAGGUGGUCCAUAAGGUUAUUGCCAAAUAUCACACAUUGGUAUAGCCAGGUUCUGUCACCAAAGUGAACCAAGAUUUAAAAUUUGAGUUCAGCAGACUAAACAGUUUCCAGUCAUGACUGCAUUUGUCUCAACCACAAAUGCUUUAUUUUAUCACAAUUGUUAAAACAGUACCUAAGACUUGAACCUGUUGCUCAGCAAAUAAACACUAAAUCAUAUUGCAUCCUUCAAAUUCAGUGUUCUCAGGCAAAUCAAUCAUUUUGACCUCUGGCUAGAUCUACAGGGCCAUUGAUAGAUGCCUUUGAGACUUUUUGAUAUUAGAGCCACAUUUGACAUGGAUGGGGGUUGAAUCUUGUCUUUGACAAUGAGAGUGAUUUUUUUUUCCUAUCAGCAAGUGUGAUGGAGCUAGUACACUUGGUGGAAAGUUCAAAUCAUUUUUUCACAUUCAUUUAAUUAGAUUUCAAGAAUAUCAGGGAAGGGAUCCUAGAAUGUAGAUAGAGUUGAAAGGAACAGUUAGAGUUUGGAGGGCUUCUGAACUGUCAGGCCUAACCAUUACCUUCUUUGGAUGUACUUUUGGAGACUGUAUCUGAUUUGGAGAUUCUUGAGCUCACUGGACAAAUGGACUUUAAUUUUCUUAGUAGCCCUAAGAACUGGAAAGUAACGAAAUCUGAAAUAUUUGGACUCCACCACAUGGCACCAUCUGAAGAUCUGAUCUGCACAUUCAGGCAUCUCACUUGAAAAUUACAUGGUUGAGCAACAUUAACGUGCUGAGGGAAGGGGGAGUGAUGGUGAUGAGAUUUAUCAGACCCAGGUUUCUGUGUCCCAGGCCAUGCUUUAGAAAUUAUGAUGAGUUCUAAUGGACAUCUUUCCUACCUUAUUUGCUAUGAAAUGUAGCAAAAGAACAUAGUGUCAGUGAACAAGAUUAUCAGAAGUUCAAAGAACUGACUGAGGAGAAGGGUAUUCCAGCAGAAAAUAUAGAAGACAUCAUCAACACAGAUGACUGUCUUAACUAGGAACAUCGGUUGAGUAAGUAGGAACAAGAUACAUACACCUUGCGACUUUUUAAUAGGUUAAGACUUUUUGUUCUUGGGGUUAUGGCUUUAAGUAUUGAGUAACAAAGCAACCCAUCUUCAAGGGUGGCAAAAGCUAGGACUUAUCUAAGUGUGUGGGUUUAAAAUAUCCAAAAAAAUAACACUAAUCUAGACUAUACAGUGGGAUUCUUUACUUUAAGGACAAAGGGAGGAAAUUUUGUGAGGCACUGUACUGUGAAAUAUAACUAACCCUGGUGAAUUCCAGUGUGAAUAAAUUAUCUUGCAGUCACAAAAUCUGUCAUAAUUAUAAAUAAGAUUUAUAGAAGAUAUGAGUGAUACAAACUUACACAAUAUAUAAUUUUCUAUGUCUUGUAGCCAUGACUAUGUACCUUAGAAAUUCUUAACAUAAGUCUUGAUUCAGGAUCACUCACAACUACUUAUAACCUAUGGACUAGUUCCACAUAGAUCACAUACGUGCACAUACACAGAUGGAGUUCUGUGAAAUGAGUCCUACAUGAGAAUUCCUCCACUAUUUUCUACAGCAAUUGCUUUUAUCAUUUCUUUCCCAUUCUCAACAAUAUCAUAUCAUUAAUAUCGCUCAACUAUGUUUUUAAAUGUUUUUUUACAUGCCUAAGGAAGACAAUGACAUGGAGAAUAUAAGCAAUGUCAUCUCCAAUGCAUCAGAGUCAUCGAUACAAAGAUAAAAUAGCCUUUUCUUUCAAAUUGUAAUUUCUUCUUCCCUGGGAAAUCAUGAUCCUGUCCUCGUGACUUUACUUCCAGUCAUCUUCUAUGCCCUGCUUGAUGUUACUGGAUUCCUAACUGAUUAAAUAAAGUGAUCAAUAUGCACACAUAUGUGUCUUUAAAGAAAGGUACCAUAUUUAUAAUGCACAGAAAUACCUACUUGAAUGGAACCACCUAGAAAAUUGGGUUUAAAAUGAAACAAGAGAUAAUUCUGUUUAGGAUUAAUAGUAUAACUCCUGGAAGUAUCUUGGUGAGGGGGAAAAUAUGAGCUAAAGCAUCAUGGAUGGUACUUUUAUAAUGCGAAAUAAAUUUCCCACCAGACAGAUGAGACUGGAUGGUCACACUACUUCAAAAAAUAGCCUCUGUUUUCCAAACUGACACCAGAAAACAUCUCAAUCAUUAUGUGGUUGAGCAGCAUUAAUGUGCUACCAGAGGAUGUGGAUAGGGAUUUAGCAGAAUGCUGUGUAACAUGACCAAUGCCGUAAUUUAGAGAAAGUCCCUACUAAUACCUACUAAUAUAGACUCACCACUACUCAUCUAGCUAUAGCUCUUUCCUGGAGAGAGAGACUUCGUUUUUCCUUAGAGUAUGAUUAUUAGUCAUCAAAGGUGAUAAGUAGCCAAAAUUUGAUAAAAGGCUAAGUCACAGGAAGAAAAUCAAGUUAAGAUACAAGACAAAGAACUUGCACACAUAAUGCACAAAACCCAAAGACUGUGCAGAAUCCCAUUAUGAUGAGAACCAUAGCUUCAGGAUACCUACACAAAGCAAUGGUCUCUUUUUAGGUGGACAAAAUACCUAAUUAUCUACUAGCAGUGAACAAAAUGUUUACGAUGUAAGAGACCUGCACCUUUUAACCAAAAUCUACCAAUGGGAUGCGUUAAGGGAGCAGCUUCAUUGGCAAAAAACACAAACGUUGGUAUAGGACUUCUGGAAUAACUAAAUGAGGAGCUCAGAAAAUUCUCUUCUCUAAGAAACAACUCUGAAACUCACAAAAUUAUUAAAUUAUCAAAGACAACCAUUUCAGAAUUCUGGAAAUUAAUUAAAGGCAUACAACAAAUAUGAAAAACAUUUACUCAAGAAAAACUACUGAACGUUGACAACAAAGUAUAGGGUCUAUGGUGUUUUACUUGGGGCUGCCACUGUCCUAUCCCUGCCCAACAAAGGCCAGCAGCCUUGCUGUUUAUGGAGUGGGCUGACUUUAUUAGCAGCUCUGUAUAAAAGUCCCAUAUCAAGGAUGUUUCCAAAACCAGUUGUAAAUGAUUGGUGGUAAGUGAUGGGAAAGGAGAGCAUCACGGUUACAUAAAAUGAUCAUACUUUUGGAGGAGGCAAGAGACUAGGCAAAAGUAUAAAAGAGAAAUAUGAGAGAUGAGACAGUCCUGGACAACUUUGGAAACCUGUGGCAUAUUCCUGGGGAUUUGGAAGGCUGUAUGCAAAGGAAGGGCUGCAACAAUACUUAGGAAAGACAAAAGAGGGCAAAUCAGUAACCUACUCACUCAUGGCUCAUUGUAAACUGUGUGAACUUUGUACAUAUGUUGCAACUCCCAUACAGGUCUCCUGGGACAGACAAGAUGUUGGCGCCUUGUUGAUAAAAGUUGUUUAGGAAAAAGUGAACAAUCAUUGGUUGAGUACUAAGCUAUGCUGACUCAGAGCCGACCCCUAGGAAGUCAAACUUAAAAAUAAAAACAAGAAUUAAAGGAAAAAAUAACUGAACAGAGACUUUGGUGACUGCACACUGUUGGGAAUGAAGAUUCUACAGAAUUAGUACAGGCAAGUCACUAAACAAAAACAUGAGGUUUGGUGAGCUCCUCAUUUAAAAAAAAAUAAGAUAAAACAAAAAAAUGGAUGCAAUAAAAUUCCCAAGGGAAGUCAGGAUCCAGAUUUGAUAAACUAUAAUGAUCUAAAAUCUCAAACUUUAAAAGAAAAUAAAAAUCUACUAGAUAUGAAAAGAAAGGGGAAAGGCUAGCUUAUAAAGAAGAAAAGAAAGUCAAUGAAAAGGCCCAGAUAUUGGAAUUAUUAGAAAAGAUGCUUUAAGUCAGCCAUUAUAAACAUUCACAUAAGUAAAGGAAAUGAUGUUUAAAUAAUUAAAGCAAAGUAUAAAGUUAUAAUGUACCACAAAACAGGCUUUUGAUAAAGAGAUGAAAGUUACUAAGAAAAAAAAGAAAUUGAGACUCUGUAGUUGAAAAUUAUAAUAAAACGAAUGAAAAAUUUACUAGAGUGGCUAAGCAGCAGAUUUGACCUGGAAGAAAAAAGAAUCAGUAAAUCUGAAGAUAGGUCAAUAGCUAUUAUCCAUGCUGAAGACUAGUAAGAAUAAAGAAUGGGGAAAAAUGAGCAGAGCUCCAGAAACCUGUGGAAUAUUAUCAAGGGUAACAACAUGCAUGUAAAUGGAAAUUAUAGGAAAAAAAAGGGAAAGAAAAAUAAAAUUUAUUUGAAAAUGUAUUGGCUGAAAACUGCUCAAAUUUAAUAAAAAAAAACUAUACUUCCAAAAAGCUCAGAUAUUCCAAGUAGGACAAACUCAAAGACAUUCUCAUCUAGAUAUAUCAUAGACAAAUUGUCAAAAGCCAAAGAUAAAGGGAAAAUCUUGAAACCAGCAAGAGAAAAAUGACUAACCAAGUUCAAAGGAACCUCCAAAUGAUUACAGCUUACUUCUCAUUGAAAAUGAAGGAAACAGAAAACAGUGGGAUGACAUACAGUCAAGUGCCACAUAAUGAUGUUUUGGUCAACAACGAACCACAUAUAUGACAGUGGUCCCAUAAGAUUAGUUC